AGAGUUUGAUCCUGGCUCAGGAUGAACGCUGGCGGCGUGCUUAACACAUGCAAGUCGAACGAACCUUCGGGUUAGUGGCGGACGGGUGAGUAACGCGUGGGAAUCUGCCCUCAGGAGGGGGAUAACGGCUGGAAACGGCCGCUAAUACCCCAUAUGCCGAGAGGUGAAAUGAAUUUCGCCUGAGGAUGAGCCCGCGUCUGAUUAGCUAGUUGGUGAGGUAAGAGCUCACCAAGGCAUCGAUCAGUAGCUGGUCUGAGAGGAUGAUCAGCCACACUGGGACUGAGACACGGCCCAGACUCCUACGGGAGGCAGCAGUGGGGAAUUUUCCGCAAUGGGCGAAAGCCUGACGGAGCAACGCCGCGUGAGGGAUGAAGGCCUCUGGGCUGUAAACCUCUUUUCUCAAGGAAGAAGAUCUGACGGUACUUGAGGAAUAAGCCACGGCUAAUUCCGUGCCAGCAGCCGCGGUAAUACGGGAGUGGCAAGCGUUAUCCGGAAUUAUUGGGCGUAAAGCGUCCGCAGGCGGCCCUUCAAGUCUGCUGUUAAAAAGUGGAGCUUAACUCCAUCAUGGCAGUGGAAACUGUUGGGCUUGAGUGUGGUAGGGGGCAGAGGGAAUUCCCGGU
rnacentral:rRNA from 1 species